CAAAAGGAAUUUUGAGGAAAUUCUGCAGAGUACAUUUUGUAAUACAUUAAGCAAUUAGAGUUCACAUUAAUCUUUAGUGCCUCUUUUGUAAAAGGAUAAAAUAAAGGGAAAAGUAAAUGUUACUUUCAAAAGUCUAAAAUAAUAGGCUGGGUGUGAUGGCUCACGCCUGUAACCCCAGCACUUUGGGAGGCUGAGGUGGGCGGAUCACCUGAGGUGAGGAGCUGGACACCAGCUUGAACAACAUGGCGAAACCCCAUCUCUACUGAAAAUACAAAAAUUAACCUGGCACAGUGGUGCGUGCCUUUAUCCCAGCUAUUUGGGAGGCUGAGGGAGGCGAGUCGCGGGAACCUGGGAGGCCAAGGUGGCAGUGAGCCAAGAUCGCACCACUGCACUCCAGCCUAGGCUACAGAGGUAGGCUGCUUCUCAAACAAUAUGGCGGGGAGGGGAGGGAGGGGAGGGGAGGGGAGGGGAGGGACUCUGUCUCACUGGAACCCUUGUACUCGCCCUUGACAUAUCCAUGGGAAGGGGCUUUAGACCACUCUCACCUUUGCCUUCAUCACUCACUCAGUGUGCUGUGUUCUUAAAGUUAGGUAUAAAAAAUUACCACUGAUAGGUUUGGGAGGAGGUACUGAGCCUACUGUCUCUUCUCUCCAAAUGUCCGUUUCAGAGAAAGCGCCUUCUGUGUUAUUCUCUCUUUGCCUGCAGAACACUACUGAAGACUGCAGUUGCUCAGUGCUGACUGAGACUGGGUGGGGGAAAUUGCUUAAAAUACAUUGUUUUAACCGAAGAUCAAAGUACAGAUAGGAGGAGAGACGGCCGAAUUUGCCUUCUAAGCACUUUGGAAAUUUGGGAGGCAGAGUUAAGAGAAGAAAUAUAUGGGAGUAACAGGUAGCUAAUUAAUUUAGGUCAUCAUAAAAUAAACUCAGAAUCUCUGAACUAGCUGAAAUUGGAUUCAACGUGAAAACCAAGGAAGAACCAAGCAAGUUUAUGGGAGCAGGUUCGGCCUACAGACAAGAACAGGGGAGACAGAUGGCACAGGUUACAGAGUCUGACCUGGAGAACUCCAAAGAGUGGGGACAUCUUUUGUGGCCAUUCCUCCUCAAAAUAAUUUGGGCUUCUGGCCAGUAAGGGAAAGAACUGGAAAGCACAUGAAAUACCCAUGUUUAUAAGAAAUUCUGUCUAAUAAAUCAAAAAAAUGUAAUGGAUUCUGAGUGGUGUCUGAGUGUCACCCAGGAACGGAGGGAGGUUCAAAAAAUACGCAUGUUAAUGAAAUACCUCCCUGGUCCAAUCUGAGCAGUUGCCCAUCU
rnacentral:lncRNA from 1 species